rnacentral:tRNA from 1 species
CAAUUAAUAUCUUAAUUUUAAAGAAAUGAUCUUUUAAAUCAUCUCUAGUAAAUAAACGUACUUCAAUUGA